GUAAAUAUAGUUUAAUAAAAACAUUAGAUUGUGAAUCUAAUAGUAGAAAUUCAAAACUUAUUUACU
rnacentral:tRNA from 1 species